AUCCAGCCGACGAGUCCCAAAUAAGACAAAACAUGUCUUGGAU
rnacentral:hammerhead_ribozyme from 1 species